CCUACGGGUGGCAGCAGUGAGGAAUAUUGGUCAAUGGACGAGAGUCUGAACCAGCCAAGUAGCGUGAAGGAUGACUGCCCUAUGGGUUGUAAACUUCUUUUAUAUGGGAAUAAAAUGUUCCACGUGUGGGGUUUUGUAUGUACCAUAUGAAUAAGGAUCGGCUAACUCCGUGCCAGCAGCCGCGGUAAUACGGAGGGUCCGAGCGUUAUCCGGAUUUAUUGGGUUUAAAGGGAGCGUAGGUGGAUUGUUAAGUCAGUUGUGAAAGUUUGCGGCUCAACCGUAACAUCGCAGUUGAAACUGGCAGUCUUGAGUACAGUAGAGGUGGGCGGAAUUCGUGGUGUAGCGGUGAAAUGCUUAGAUAUCACGAAGAACCCCGAUUGCGAAGGCAGUUUGCUGGACUGCAACUGACACUGAGGCUCGAAGGUGUGGGUAUCAAACAGGAUUAGAUACCCUGGUAGUC
rnacentral:rRNA from 1 species